rnacentral:rRNA from 1 species
UACGUAGGGUGCAAGCGUUGUCCGGAAUUAUUGGGCGUAAAGAGCUCGUAGGCGGCUAGUCGCGUCGGCUGUGAAAACCUGGGGCUCAACCCCGGGCCUGCAGCCGAUACGGGCUAGCUAGAAUUCGGUAGGGGAGACUGGAAUUCCUGGUGUAGCGGUGAAAUGCGCAGAUAUCGGGAAGAACACCCGUGGCGAAGGCGGCUCUCUGGGACGGUACUGACGCUGAGACGCGAAAGCGUGGGGAGCGAACAGG